rnacentral:rRNA from 1 species
GUUAUUAAUUUUAUUAGAUAAUUUUAGUUAAAAGAAUUAAUUUUUUGUUUUAUUAUUUUAUAAGAAAAGAUAGGUUUUGUUAUAGUAAAAUAGUAUUGUGGAAGAAAUGAUUUAAGUAUUAAAAAGAAAAGAAUUCUUGUACCUUGUGUCUCAGGGUUUAAUAAUUAAUUUUAAAUAAUUUUAAUUUCCCGAAUUUAGAAGAGCUAAUUUUAUAUGUAUUUUAUUGUAAAAUAAAUAUUUAAAAUAUAAUUUUAGAAAUGAAAUGUUAUUCGAUUCUUAAUAUAUCUGGUUAUUUAAGAAAUAAAUUUAAUUUAUUUGUUAUAUAAUAAAUUUUUUAAUUUUUAGUAAUUUAUUUGUACCAAUUGAUAUUUUUAGGGAUGAGCUUAAAAAUAGAUUUUAAUAAAUUAAUUAAAAUAAAUUAUUUAUAGGAUUGGAAUUUUUCAUUGUUAAGAAUAUGUUAUAGUUUUUAAUUUUUUAAAUAAGAUUUUUAUUAAUUUUUAAUUUUUUAUUAAAUUAUUUAUUUUAAUUUUAAAAAUAAAGUAAAUAUGUUAAAAUUAGUAUAUUAUUAAUUUGUAAGUAUAAUUUUAAAGUUUAGGUAAGUUAAAGGAAUUCGGCAAAAGUUUUUUCACCUGUUUAUUAAAAACAUGGCCUUUUGUUUAAGAUUUAAGGUCUGGCCUGCCCACUGAGGUGUUAAAUGGCCGCGGUAUUUUGACCGUGCUAAGGUAGCAUAAUCAUUAGUUUUUUAAUUGAAAGCUUGUAUAAAUGGUUCAAUGAGAAAAGAUCUGUCUCUAAUUUAUUUUUAUAGAAAUUUAUUAUUAAGUGAAAAAGCUUAAAUGUUUUUAAAAGACGAGAAGACCCUAUAGAGUUUAAUAUAUUUUAGAUUUUUUAGAUAUUUGGAAUUAAUUUAUUUUAAUUUAAAAUUUAUUUGGUUGGGGUGAUUGAAAAAUUUAAUUAACUUUUUUUAAAUUAAAACAUUAAUUAAUGAAUAAUUGAUCCAUAAUUUAUGAUUAAAAGAAAAAAUUACCUUAGGGAUAACAGCGUAAUUUUCUUGGAGAGUUCUUAUUGAUAAGAAAGUUUGCGACCUCGAUGUUGGAUUAAAAUUUAAUUUUGGUGCAGUAGCUAAAAGUUUAGGUCUGUUCGACCUUUAAAAUUUUACAUGAUCUGAGUUUAAACCGGCGUGAGCCAGGUUGGUUUCUAUCUUUAGAAGAUUUUAAUGUUUUAGUACGAAAGGAUUGGGCAUUAGGUUAAUUAAUUUAAAUUU